UUGUCGAUAAGUUCCCUCAGAAAACAUAGUAUUAAACGUGUGAGUGUAAACAAAAAAUGUAUACAAAUUAGAAAUUUUGUAAAUAUUUUUUCCUCCGGAUAGACCGAACGUUUAAGUGAAACCGAAAGUGAAGUGAAAACUCAAUAGCGGCCUGCGGAUUGUUCGGUCUCCCGCCCCGGGGUCGGGGCCCUCAAGACACCUGUCCUCAUCAGUUCCGCAUCAAAAUUGUGAACAAUUCUUAAAUUUUUCUGUUUCCUGUAAAGUUGUUCUUUUGGAUUGAUUUUUUGGAGAGAUUUUAGAGAUUCUUGAGGGUUACACAUACAAUAUACUCAUCACAGACUCGACUCUUGUUUUAAAUUUAUUCGCUGAUAUGCAACGGUCUACGAAACAGUAAGGACGAUCACCUACACUUCUAUAAAUACUACUACUACACUCGUCGCACUACAAAUACACUACAUAUGUACCUACAUAUACUCAUCAGAUGGACAUGUCUAUGGUCUAUCAAAUGCAAGAUUUCUUGGGUCAAAACACGUGGGUUCUCAAACUGGAAUAAAACACAAUUACAGACUAUUUUUUCCAAACUGAAUGCUGGAUAGUUGACUCUACAGACUCUAGAAGACAUACACAAUGGUCGGUAAGACAAAAUCGAUGCGGACUCGGAAAUGUAUUUGGACCAUUCUUUGAUACCUAUUUUGCUUUGAAAUGUGGAGUAGGCCCACUGGCGCUACCAUGAUAAAAAAAAAAACGCGUAGAACUCUACCUCUAUCGUAGUGUGGAAAAUAACUCAAUACGCUGUCAGACAUAACCACAUAUAUAAGUAAAUUAAACCAAAAAUCA